AUUGAACGCUGGCGGCAGGCCUAACACAUGCAAGUCGAGCGGAGCGGCGGACGGGGGAGUGAGUGCUAGGUAUGUGCCUGGGCGUGGGGGAGGGCGUCAGGAAACGGACGCUAAUACCGCAUCCUAUCAGAUUAGCCUAGGUCGGAUUGGCUGGUGGGUGGGGUAAAGGCCUACCAAGGCGACGAUCCGUAACUGGUCUGAGAGGAGGAGCAGUCACACGGGAACGGAGACACGGCCAGGACUCCUACGGGAGGCAGCAGUGGGGAAUAUUGGACAAUGGGCGAAAGCCUGAUGCAGCCAUGCCGCGGGUGUGAAGAAGGUCUUCGGAUUGUAAAGUACUUUAAGUGGGGAGGCGUUACCAACAGAAUAAGCACCGGCUAACUCCGUGCCAGCAGCCGCGGUAAUAC
rnacentral:rRNA from 1 species